rnacentral:rRNA from 1 species
AGAGUUUGAUCCUGGCUCAGGAUGAACGCUAGCGGGAGGCUUAAUACAUGCAAGUCGAGCGGCAAGGUCUUCGGACCCUAGAGCGGCGCACGGGUGAGUAACGCGUACGCAAUCUGCCCUUCAGUGAGGAAUAGCCCCUGGGAAACUGGGAUUAAUACCUCAUAAUAUUAUUUGUUCGCAUGGACGAAUAAUUAAAGUUCUGGCGCUGAAGGAUGGGCGUGCGUCUGAUUAGCUUGUUGGUAGGGUAACGGCCUACCAAGGCUACGAUCAGUAGGGGGCGUGAGAGCGUGGCCCCCCACACGGGUACUGAGACACGGACCCGACUCCUACGGGAGGCAGCAGUAAGGAAUAUUGGGCAAUGGAGGCAACUCUGACCCAGCCAUCCCGCGUGAAGGAUUAAGGCCCUAUGGGUUGUAAACUUCUUUUGUUUGGGAAGAAAUCUGGACAUUUAUGUGCAGUUGACGGUACCUUACGAAUAAGCACCGGCUAACUCCGUGCCAGCAGCCGCGGUAAUACGGAGGGUGCAAGCGUUAUCCGGAAUCACUGGGUUUAAAGGGUGCGUAGGCGGUUUGAUAAGUCAGAGGUGAAAGCUAGCAG